GCUCACAGCUCUCUCCUCACACAGGGCUGAGGUCUCUGGGGAAGGCAGAGCCCUGGUCUAGAAGAAGAUGAGACUGCUGGGUCUUCUCCUGUGCCUGGUGACAGCCCCCCAAGGUGUCCUGUCCCAGGUGCAGCUGCAGGAGUCGGGCCCAGGACUGGUGAAGCCCUCACAGACCCUCUCCCUCACCUGCACUGUCUCUGGGGGCUCACUCAGUAGUGGUUACUACUGGAGCUGGAUCCGCCAGAAACCAGGGAAGGGGCUGGAAUGGAUUGGGAACAUAUAUGGUAUGGAAGUGGUAGUACUUACUACAACCCGUCCCUCAAGAGCCGCACCACCAUCUCCAUAGACACGUCCAAGAACCAGUUCUCCCUGCAGCUGAGCUCCAUGACCACCGAGGACACAGCCAUGUAUUACUGUGCGAGACACAGUGAGAGGAAGUCAGUGUGA